AAUGAACGCUGGCGGCAGGCCUAAAACAUGCAAGUCGAACGCUGUAGCAAUACAGAGUGGCGCACGGGUGAGUAACAUGUGGGAAUAUGCCUUUUGGUACGGAACAACGUUUGGAAACGAACGCUAAUACCGUAUGGUCCCUUCGGGGUAAAGAUUUAUCGCCAAAAGAUUAGCCCGCACUAGAUUAGCUAGUUGGUAAGGUAAUGGCUUACCAAGGCGACGAUCUAUAGCUGUUCUGAGAGGAAGAUCAGCCACACUGGGACUGAGACACGGCCCAGACUCCUACGGGAGGCAGCAGUUAGGAAUAUUGGACAAUGGGCGCAAGCCUGAUCCAGCCAUGCCGCGUGAGUGAUGAAGGCC
rnacentral:rRNA from 1 species